rnacentral:sRNA from 1 species
GCUGGUUGAAGGAACGGGGCAGUCCCCUGAGGAGCGGGGCUGGUUGAAACGCUAGGGGCGGGAUCUGCCCGAGUGGAAGGUACCGGUCCGGCCCGAUAAGGGGUGGAGUUAAGUGAAUCGUUAAGGGUGGAGUCGAGACCGGGGCCGGCUGAGUGAAAGGGUGGGUGAUUAUCCCGGGAGAUAGGCCGAAAGGGCCGGUUCGUGAAGGAAUGGGGUCUGGGCCGGGCUUAGAGGGUCUGGGAAUGGGGCUUAGGAGAGUAGAAGGGGCGGUGAUUGGUUGGAAAGGGCAGGCCCUAAAACGGACUGAGUGAGUCCGGGGGCUCAUUGCUCCGUGAAAGGGCAAGACCAGGGAGAGAGAAUCGUGUAAAAGGGGUGGAGUCUAGCGGGCCGGGCGGGGCCAGGUAGAGUGGCCACCUGAGUGGAUGGAGAAGGCCUGAGAGAGGCGGAGUUUGGAAGGCUGUGGAGAAUCAGAUCGCAACCGCGGCAGGGGCCAAGCCUCCUCAACUAUGACCUCAACCGGCCAGGAUUCCACCACAACCAGGCAGCGAAGAAGUAGGCAGAACCCCCAGUCGCCCCCUCAGGACUCCAGUGUCACUUCGAAGCGAAAUAUUAAAAAGGGAGCAGUUCCCCGCUCCAUCCCCAAUCUAGCGGAGGUAAAGAAGAAAGGCAAAAUGAAGAAGCUCGGCCAAGCAAUGGAAGAAGAUCUAAUCGUGGGACUGCAAGGGAUGGAUCUGAACAUUGAGGCUGAAGCACUGGCUGGCACUGGCUUGGUGUUGGAUGAGCAGCUAAAUGAAUUCCAUUGCCUCUGGGAUGACAGCUUCCCGGAAGGCCCUGAGCGGCUCCAUGCCAUCAAGGAGCAACUGAUCCAGGAGGGCCUCCUAGAUCGCUGCGUGUCCUUUCAGGCCCGGUUUGCUGAAAAGGAAGAGCUGAUGUUGGUUCACAGGUGAAGGCUUGGGAGCCUUGUAGGGAUGGGGAGGAGCCUGCCCUGGACAAACCAGGGCAAGCUAAACGCUUUGGGAAGGAAUGUCAUGGUCUCUGUGGCCAGCCUUGGGCAAGUCACUGAGCCUCUCUGAAUCUGUGUCAUCGCCUGUAACAAGGGGACCAGUAAACAUAAGUUCCUCAGGAGA